rnacentral:rRNA from 1 species
GACGAACGCUGGUGGCGUGCCUAAUACAUGCAAGUCGAGCGGACCAAUAGAAGCUUGCUUCUGUUGGUUAGCGGCGGACGGGUGAGUAACACGUGGGCAACCUGCCUGUAAGACUGGGAUAACUUCGGGAAACCGGAGCUAAUACCGGAUAAUUCAUCCCCUCGCAUGAGGGGAUGCUGAAAGUCGGUUUACGCUGACACUUACAGAUGGGCCCGCGGCGCAUUAGCUAGUUGGUGAGGUAAUGGCCCACCAAGGCGACGAUGCGUAGCCGACCUGAGAGGGUGAUCGGACACACGGGGACUGAGACACGGCCCAGACUCCUACGGGAGGCAGCAGUAGGGAAUCUUCCACAAUGGACGAAAGUCUGAUGGAGCAACGCCGCGUGAGCGAUGAAGGCCUUCGGGUCGUAAAGCUCUGUUGUUAGGGAAGAACAAGUAUCGGAGUAACUGCCGGUACCUUGACGGUACCUAACCAGAAAGCCACGGCUAACUACGUGCCAGCCGCCGCCGUAA